rnacentral:rRNA from 1 species
CCUACGGGUGGCAGCAGUGGGGAAUAUUGGUCAAUGGAGGAAACUCUGAACCAGCAACGCCGCGUGAAUGAUGAAGGUCUUCGGAUUGUAAAGUUCUUUUCUAAGGGAAGAAGAAAGUGACGGUACCUUAGGAAUAAGCCUCGGCUAACUACGUGCCAGCAGCCGCGGUAAUACGUAGGAGGCGAGCGUUCUCCGGAAUGACUGGGCGGAAAGGGUGCGUAGGUGGUUUGACUAGUUGGUAGAGUAACUCCGAGGCUCAAACCGUGCACUACUACCGAAACUGUCGGACUUGAGUGCAGGAGAGGCAAGUGGAAUUCCUAGUGUAGCGGUGGAAUGCGCAGAUAUUAGGAGGAACACCGGUGGCGAAGGCGAAUUGCUGGACUGUAACUGACACUGAGGCACGAAAGCGUGGGGAGCAAACAGGAUUAGAUACCCCAGUAGUC